UUUCAUUAGCUAGCCACCUGUGCAACGUCAUUGCAGUAGGGGAACAUCGGUCCUCGAACUGUCAGACAUUAUUUUCUGCCUGGAAACACUAUAAACUAAUCGGAAGAGCGAGAGAGAAAGAGUUGGAUCUCGUGGGGUCGAUUGCGAGGGUAUGGGGGGAGGCCAGAGUCAUGAGAGGAGUCUGCCAGAGGAGGGGGAGAGAGUGGGGUCUUUAUCCACAUCCCAGGAUUCCCAGAGACAACCCUCCUCAGAGAGCACCACUGUAGAGGUUCUCUCCCCCUCCUGUUCCUUCUGUUGUCUUCCUCCAGAGCCUUACCCAGAAGCCCUAGCCCAGCUGCCCCAGUGCCAGAUGGGUAGCAGAAAGGUGGAUGACAUGUGUUUCAUGAUCUCCUGCACCAACUGGUAUUAAGAACACUACGAACCAGCUGUUGCUUUUCUGCGCUGUCUGAAAUGAACCUCAAUUUGACCUAUGCUGCCUCUCUCAUGGUUUACUGCUAUAUAGUUGAAUGCAGUAUGGAGGUCUUGGAGCACUUUAAAUCUUGUACUUUAAUUGCUGAUGCCUGAAGCCCCCCGGCCCCACUCAGGACCUCUGUCAUAAUAUUACUGUACAGACAUUUUGUAAAAUUUGCCUUAAAGAUGCUGUAAAGUGGAAUUGAAAAUGAGUUUUAAGUUCAUCACACCACAGAAGAAUGUGUCGUUAUCUACCCAUCCAAAUUUGAAAAAAAACUGACAUGUUAAAUUAGGCUUUGAAAUCGUGAGUGAGUUAAUUACUUUGUAACAGAAUGCAACCGUCUGUGAUCUGACGUAGAUAGGUCGCUGUGACGUAGAUCGGUCGGGUUUUGGCUCCGCCUUUACAAAACCUGAGCUGAAAACGGGAGAGAAACUGUUCAACGGUCUAACUCCACAUUUCAGAGCAACAACGUUUUUUCACUUUGCACAUGCUUUCAGGAACUCAUUUCUCACAUAUAUAAUGUACUGAGAAGCAAAUCAUGGAAUUUGCUUUACGGCAGCUUUAAUUGUAUAAUUAAAGCAUAAUUGUGAUUUAAUGCUGUGCGUCACCCUACCUGCGUCACCCCACCUGCAUGUACAGUAUAUAUACUGUAAAUAUACCAAUAAGAAAAUAAUCAGUCAUGCAGAUAAUCAAGUUUUCACUUUUAUUGAAAUGUCUUUGUUAAUAGAACAUGGUGAUAUUGUAAGAUUCUCAGUGUGGUCCUGUAAAAUGAAAUGAACUGGAAAAAAGAUACCUUUGUCCCUAACCAAUAAACUUGUAUUUGCUCUUUAAAAAAAA